AGGCCAUGAUGACGACCUAAAUUGUCUGAAGAAAGGUGACGAAUAAAAAAAUCAUGAACAGAGGAUUGAGCUGAGGCCC